ensembl:snRNA U6 U6 spliceosomal RNA
GUGGUCACUUUGGCAGCACAUAUACUAAAACUGGAACAAUACAGAGAAGAUUUGCAUGGCCUCUGUGCAAGAACGACACGGAAAUUCAUGAAGCGCUCCAUAUUUUU